AGUCUGAUGAAGGCCUCUACAAGUGUAACAUCAGAGGUCGUGGAGAGUCUCCAUCCAGCUGGAUCUCUGUCACAGGUAAACCUACAACCUCAGCCCCGCCCACAUCUGCAGCUCUGACCAUCCCGCCUACUCUAUCGCCCCCUGCCUCAGACCCCAUCCAGCUUGUGUUCAGACUGAUCUACCACCUGGUGGUGUUCUGUCCAUACUGCAUCUCCACUGUCCUCCUGGUGUCUUUAUAUCGACACAGGCCCACAGAAAAUUACCUGCCCGUCUCCAUGGUGAUGACCCCGCCCCCUCAGGCUGAGGAGGGAUUGGAUGAUGACUGUGAUGAUGUCAUCACUGCUGUCACCACAGAGCAUCACUUCUGAGUUGAUCCAGUGUGUUCAGUGUGUUCUGGUUCUUAAUGAAGCUAAAAUGUUUGAGUCAUCAGCAAAUAAACCUCAGAUUUCCUUAAUAGAUCACAAACAGCAGAGGACCCAGAACACUUCCCUGUGGAACUCCUCAUGUUCUAGUUUGACUUGUAGAUGAUGUUGAACUCAGGAUCUCAGACUUCAGCAACAGUCUCACUUUAAACUCUUCUAAUCUUAUUCUGUAAGCAGCUGUGUGAGAGCAGAUAUCAGAAUUAACUCUGUCAGGUUUAGUGAAGCCUGAUCACUCAGAAAAAGACUGACUGAGGUGAACUUGAUUCAUGAUACAGGUGUAAAUUCUUUGUACAAAGCCGUCGACAUGUUUUUGGUCCAAAUGGAAACUGAUAGUUAUUCAGGUUCGAGUUUUGUUAUUGUUCAUAUUGGUUUGGUUCAGAUGUUUUAGAACAACGUGAAGUCUUUAAUUUUUUAUUUACUACUAUAUGUUUUUAAUAAACCUCACACAGUUUACCAAAUCUCAGAGAACCAACCUAUCAUGUUUAUUGAUGGAGGGGAUACCGGAGCACCCAGAAGAAACCCCUGCAGACACAGGGAGAACAUGUAAACUCUACACAUAAAAGCCAGGACGACCAGGGUUUAAACUUGGAACCUUCUAGCUGUGAGGCCAUAGUGCUCUCCACCGGGCCACAAUGCACCCACGUUAUAGUCAUACAGAGGACGUAUGUUUUCCAUUUGAGAAAAGGUGAAGACGACCUUGAUAGGAUAUCUGGCGUUGGUAAGUAGAUGCUUACGUGUCAUGGUAGAUCUGAAUUUUAUUGAUUUCAUACUCCUUGCCUCUGUCACCUUUCCUCUGUAAAUAAUAUCACAGAGAGCACGGUCUAGACCUGCUCUAUAUAAAAAGUGCAAUGAGAUAACUGUUGUUGUGAAUCAGUGCUAUAUUAAUAAAAUUUUAUCGAAUUGAACUGGAUGUGUGAGAAGGCUAACAGUCUCACUCUCAAUUCGUCA